UGUUGGGCCUGCACCGAUGCCCUUCCAUGUUGACAGCAGAAUGUUACCCUCCAAAGUCUCCCAUCUCAACCAUCCUUUUUGUAGACUUUAGUUUGAAUACAGAGUCUAUUGGUCUUGCUAUGUCACGCUGCCUCUGGGUUUAGUGAUUAAUCACCCAUCAAUUGCAGGCAUGACUUUCAGCCUUGGACCUGGCUUUGAUCUUCCUUCUAUUGUUCUCUUGUCCUUUUUCC